GCUGGUACUAUGAUAGUAGUUGGCCUGACAAUAGCUGCAGCUGGUUAUGCAGGUCGCUAUGCGCUGCAAGUAAUAAAGCAAAUGGAACCACAAGUAAAGCAAACACUGCAAUCUCUGCCAAAAACGGCCUUCAGUGGUUAUUACAGAGGUGGAUUCGAAAGCAAAAUGAACAAGCGGGAAGCUGCCUUAAUAUUAGGAGUGAGUCCUACAGCGAACAAAGCAAAAAUCAGAGAAGCUCACAGAAGAAUCAUGCUUUUGAAUCAUCCUGAUAAAGAAUAAUGGAAUAAUUUCUGUCUUGUGAACAUGACAACCAUAUUUUCCUCUUUACCAGGUUGCCUAAUUUGUUACCCAGAUCAACUGGAGUUGCUUGGUCCAUAAUUGAAUCUAAUUAGAGCAAGAAGCUCUUGGAAUUCUACAUUUGAGUGAGUAGUUUGGGGAAUUUUUAUGUGGGACUUUAGGGAAGGGUAUGAAGUACUUGGAAAUGGCAGAUUUAUCUAGAGAGGAUUAUAUUAUUAUAUUCUACAUUUUAGGCAGAAUUCAAGACACAGCAUCAACAGUCAUAAAUAUAAAUACUGGAAAUUAUAGAUUUCUUCCCAAAGGGAUCUGGAUAAAUUUAGGAAGCAAUGUAAAACAGGCCAUCUGGAGCAAUUUUGACUUUUUCCUGGUACCAUGUUCUGUCACUUGUAGUAUGGAUAUUGUAUUUGCCUACCUGGACAAUAGGAAGAAAUAUAUAGGAAGAAAUACAACUACAGAAAACGUGAACAAACUAUCUCCAGUAAUUUAGGAAGGGUGGAAGAAGACAAUAGUUCUGUGAAAGAGCACAUGAAAAUGGGGAGACAUGGCAACCAUUAGGAGAAUGGAAGAAUAUUACCCAUAAGAUCAAAGGAUAACACACUAAACCAGUGGUCCCCAACCUUUCCAGCUUGGUGGUGGGUGGCUAGGUGAGAACCUCCAUAAUUUUAAGGUAGCAGAAAGGUGGCAAUUCAAAGUAGUUAUCUUAAUGGAUCACUAGCAGAUUGUGCUAAUAGAAAUAUAAUCAUUUUUCCAAUAAAAUGUUACUAGGAAUCUUAAAAACCCAUUGUUGCAAGCAUAGUAUUUCAACCAAGUUACAUUUGAAAUAGAGACCAUUUAUAGUUGAGACAUUAAGAAGGAAGUUGGCAAGAACGUAUUGAAGCAGAAUUAAAUGAUAAGACAGAAGAUAGAAGUCCAAACUCUAGAAGGAAGUGUUGAAAGAAGUUGACAUCCUUACCCUGAAGAAAUCUAGGAGAUAUUAUAGUGAUUUUAAAUAAAAAGAAAUGUUUCACAAAUUUGUUAGCAUAAGUGAACUCUCCCUUUCCAGAAUAAUUGUCACCAGUUUUCUGCAUGGUAUAAACAUUAAAUACUUUGGAUUUUUUUAAAAAACACAUCAGAGGGUCAUGGGCAGGAUACACCAAUUCUUACAAAGGACAAAAAAAAAACAACCAUGAAUAAAAUAAAGACAAUGAGAAGUAGUAGUAGUAGUAGUAGUAGUAGUAGUAGUAGUAGUAGUAGUAGUAGUAGUAGUAGUAAUAUCCCAGAUGGCAGUGAGCAGGCUUUUGAAAUUACAGUGGCAUUGACAAGAAUAUGGCAGGAACUGCAAGGCAGCCACAGGGAAUGCUAAGGAAUAAGUAUGACCCCAAAGCUAAACUUUUCUUAAUCUACAGGGGAGAGGCUUGGUUCUAGGACUUAGUUCUAAUUUUGUCUCCUUGAAAAAAGAUGAUUUCCCUCUCCAAAAGCAAUGCAUUCUGUGUGCUACAUCAGCAAUGAAGUCAGACUUGCUCUUGAGAUAAAAUGAUAUGGGAUAUCUAAUUAGAAUGCCAGGAUUUUUAGGGUCAAAUUUUAAAUUGGGGAGAGAAUCCAUUUGUGAAUUGAAUUUUACCAUUUUCCCCUAAAUUGUCCUAUUACUGGUUUCUAUGCAAUAACCAGUAAAAAGGAAAGACAUUUAGAUCUGCAAGUUAAAUGAGGAACAAUGUUGCCAGCUACAAAAACCUUUCAGAAAAUGACAUUAAUAUACUCUUUCAUUCAAAGGCAAUGCCUCCAUGAGAACUUGUGUCCAACCCUUGUAUAACAAAUUAAUAACUAGCAAAUGUUUAAGGAUCAACCAAUGGAAGAUCAAGGUUUAUUUUUCUACCAGCAUACAAAAACAUAUUGCACAUCAAACAACCAAAAAUAAAAAUACUCUAAGGACUAACAUAUGUAGUUUAUACAGAAUAAACUUUCUGGAAAUUGAUCUUUUCAGUAGUUCUGGUUAUCUUAAUGGACAUGACUAAUUCAGAAUUAAGUGUUUUAACUAAAGCUAUGUUUGAUUUUUAAAUACUGUACAGUUUAAUAAAUAAAUCAAACAAAGCCUCAAUGCAGAACAGUCAUUGCCAAUGUCACCCAAUAUCCCUGCAGAUUGAGAAUUUAAUAAAUGUAUUCCAGUGGUCUGCAGUUUUCCCCCACUACAUACAGCAUUUAAAAAACAUGUAUUAAAACAGACCAGUUUCCAGACUAAACUAAUGGAGAAAUUACAAUUCAGUGCAAAAUAUUUUAGACUGCAUUUUUUUUUCUAGUUUUCCCUCAGGUGAAGAAGUGGUUGCAUAUUAUUAAAAAUGUAAUAAAAGCAGCUAAUGCUUUCAUAAAGUAGGUUAUGUUAGGGAUUUCCCCCCACACAUCUGUCAUAUUUUGAAAACAAAAUAACGUUUCCUAUAGCCAGCAAUUUGUUUUUAUUUAAAUGUUACAUAUACUAUUCUCAAGGCACAUCUGAUGAUAUUUAUAACACAGUAGGUGUCAAAGUAUGUUCAACAUUGGAUUUUUUUUCAGGAUCCCUCCCUGUUGUUUUCCAAAAUGGAGGAACUGAAAGUGCGAUGUCAAGAUUCGCAAUCCAUAUUCUAUCUUUGGCAAGCUUAUACAAGCACUAUUGUAAAAUGUAAU